rnacentral:rRNA from 1 species
CAAUAGCGUAUAUUAAAGUUGUUGCAGUUAAAAAGCUCGUAGUUGGAUUUCUGAAUUGAAUAUCCGGUCCGCUCGUCUCUGAUGAGUGCGUACUUAUGGAUUUUGGAUUCAUUUUUUGUGAGGACAUUUAUCUGUCAUUAAGUUGAUGGAUUUAUAGACUUGCAUCGUUUACUGUGAAAAAAUUAGAGUGUUUAAAGCAGGCGUUCGCCCAUUUGAAUACAUUAGCAUGGAAUAAUAAGAUAUGACUUUGGUGGUCUAUUUUGUUGGUUUGCACACCAGAGUAAUGAUUAAUAGGGACAGUUGGGGGUAUUCAUAUUUCAACGUCAGAGGUGAAAUUCUUAGAUCGUUGAAAGAUGACCUUAGGCGAAAGCAUUUACCAUGGAUGUUUNCAUUAA